rnacentral:ncRNA from 1 species
UAAGGGCCCGGUCUAUAUUUUAAUGAUAUUUUUAGUUUAUAAGAAAAUUCUCGGGCCCCCCUAUAAAUUAUGUUUGCUUUUAAAAUAAUAGUACAAAAAGUUUUAUUUUAGCUUAAAAAUUGGGUUUUAUUUUUAUUUAUAUAUAUAUUUAUUUUGAGAAUAAUUUGUAGUAAUUAAAUUUAAUUAUUUAAGAAAUUAAGAAUUAGAAAUUAUAAUUAAUUUAAACAAAAUUUGUGCCAGCAGUUGCGGUUAAACAAAUUAUAUAACUUAAUUUUUUUAGUUAUAAUAAAUUUAUUUUUAAUUUAGGUUUGAAAAUUUAUUAAGUGAAAUUUUAAAUUUUUAAAAUAAAUUUUAUAAAAUAAUGAUUUAAGAAAUUUUAUUUGUAAACUAGGAUUAGAUACCCUAUUAUUUAAAAAUGUAGUUUUUGUACUAAAUUAUUAAUAGUUAUGUUCUUUAAAAUUAAAAAAUUUGGCGGUAUUUUAGUCUUUUCAGAGGAACCUGUUUUAUAAAUGAUAGUCCACGAUUUAAUUUACUUUUAUUAUAAAUUUAUAUAUCAUCGUUAUUAAAUAUUUUUUUAGAAUAUAAUAUUUAAGAUUUUUAAUUAAAAAUUAAAUCAGAUCAAGGUGUAGUUUAUAUAAAAGUAUAAAUGGGUUACAUUAAGUUUACUUUUAAGAUAAUUAUUUUUAUAGUAUUUUGAAUUUGGAUUUGAUAGUAAUUUUUAUUAAUUAAUAAAAAUGAUUUAGCUCUAAAAUAUGUACAUAUUGCCCGUCGCUUUCAUUUAAAAUGGAAUAAGUCGUAACAAAGUAGAUUUACUGGAAAGUGUAUCUAGAUUCAA